rnacentral:rRNA from 1 species
AGUGAACGCUGGCGGUAGGCCUAACACAUGCAAGUCGAACGGCAGCACAGUAAGAGCUUGCUCUUACGGGUGGCGAGUGGCGGACGGGUGAGGAAUACAUCGGAAUCUACUUUUUCGUGGGGGAUAACGUAGGGAAACUUACGCUAAUACCGCAUACGACCUACGGGUGAAAGCAGGGGAUCUUCGGACCUUGCGCGAUUGAAUGAGCCGAUGUCGGAUUGGCUAGUUGGCGGGGUAAAGGCCCACCAAGGCGACGAUCCGUAGCUGGUCUGAGAGGAUGAUCAGCCACACUGGAACUGAGACACGGUCCAGACUCCUACGGGAGGCAGCAGUGGGGAAUAUUGGACAAUGGGCGCAAGCCUGAUCCAGCCAUACCGCGUGGGUGAAGAAGGCCUUCGGGUUGUAAAGCCCUUUUGUUGGGAAAGGAAAGCAGCAGGUUAAUACCCCGCUGUUCUGACGGUACCCAAAGAAUAAGCACCGGCUAACUUCGUG